GAUGAACGCUGGCGGCGUGCCUAAUACAUGCAAGUAGAACGCUGAAGGAAGGAGCUUGCUCUUUCCGGAUGAGUUGCGAACGGGUGAGUAACGCGUAGGUAACCUGCCUGGUAGCGGGGGAUAACUAUUGGAAACGAUAGCUAAUACCGCAUAACAGUAGAUGUUGCAUGAUAUCUACUUAAAAGGUGCAAUUGCACCACUACCAGAUGGACCUGCGUUGUAUUAGCUAGUUGGUGAGGUAACGGCUCACCAAGGCGACGAUACAUAGCCGACCUGAGAGGGUGAGCAGCCAGACUGGGACGGGGACACGGCCCAGACUCCUUCGGGAGGCAGCAGGAGGGAAACGUCGGCAAUGGGCGGAAGUCUGACCGAGAAACGCCGCGUGAGUGAAGAAGGUUUUCGGGUCGUAAAGCUCUGUUGUAAGGGAAGAACGAGUGUGAGAGUGGAAAGUUCACACUGUGACGGUAUCUUACCAGAAAGCGACGGCUAACUACGUG
rnacentral:rRNA from 1 species